rnacentral:rRNA from 1 species
UACGAGGGAGGCAAGCGUUGUCCGGAUUUAUUGGGCGUAAAGAGCGUGUAGGCGGCCAGACAGGUCAGCUGUGAAAACUCGAGGCUCAACCUCGAGACGUCGGUUGAAACCGUCUGGCUAGAGUCCGGAAGAGGAGAGUGGAAUUCCCGGUGUAGCGGUGAAAUGCGCAGAUAUCGGGAAGAACACCCGUGGCGAAGGCGGCUCUCUGGGACGGUACUGACGCUGAGACGCGAAAGCGUGGGGGAGCGAACAGG